rnacentral:rRNA from 1 species
UACGUAGGAGACGAGCGUUGUCCGGAAUCACUGGGCGUAAAGCGCGUGUAGGCGGAUCGGCAAGUCUGCUGUGAAAGCUCCUGGCUUAACCGGGAGUGGUCGGUGGAAACUGCCAGUCUGGAGGACGGUAGAGGUAGGUAGAAUUCCCGGUGUAGUGGUGAAAUGCGUAGAGAUCGGGAGGAAUACCUGUGGCGAAGGCGGCCUGCUGGGCCGGACCUGACGCUGAGACGCGAAGGCGUGGGGAGCGAACGGG